rnacentral:misc_RNA from 1 species
UUUAAGGAAGUUGAAUCACAGCCAUAUUGUGGACACCUCACAGACCAAAACAAUUGUUAGGCCGGUUUAAUCAGCAUUUGAUGCACUGUUGGCACUAUAAGAGAAAGUGAUUAACAGUUGAAAAUGUCGGACUACGACAGUAACCCGUUUGCAGAUCCUGAAGCUGUAAAUCCGUUUGCGGAUCAAUCAGUACAACAGGCUGCUAGAGGUGGUGGUAGACAGGCAGGACUUGACGACUAUAAUCCAUUUGAACAAGAUAAUCAGACCAAACCAGCUGCUGGGGAAGAAUGUAAGGGAUUGCUAACUGAGACAACUGGACAGACUAUACCAGCUCCACAGCCAUCACCAGCCAUCAUGCAGCCUUCAAACGACCCACCACCUUACUCUCAAAGUUCCGCCCAGAGGGUGGACACGUCAGAGCUGGAGAGAAGACAACAGGAACUUGAAAAGAAAGCAGAAGAGCUAGCAAGAAAAGAACAAGAAAUGAAGAACAUGCAAUUCCAAGAUCGGCAGAAUAACUGGCCACCUUUACCAAAAUGGUUCCCAGUAGGACCGUGUUUUUACCAGGAUUUCUCUGUUGACAUACCAUUAGAAUUCCAAAGAACUGUCAAAUUUGUCUACUAUAUAUGGAUGUUUUAUGGUUUCACUUUGUUCCUGAACUUCUUGGGCAGCUUAGCUUACUUCAUAGUAGAUUCUGAUGGUGGUGCUACAUUCGGACUGUCUAUUCUCUGGUUAAUUUUAUUCACACCGUGUUCAUUUAUUUGCUGGUAUAGACCACUAUAUAAAGCUUUCAGGAGUGAUAGCUCAUUCAACUUUUUCGUGUUUUUCUUCAUAUUUUUCUUCCAAUUCUGUACUUGUAUUCUGAUGUGUCUAGGAAUAACAGAUAUCUCAGUAGGAUGGAUCGUGGCAUUUAAAACGGUUGGUAAAAAUGCAGGAGCAGGGGUGUUAAUGCUGAUUGUUGCCUUAUUUUUCACCGUCUCAUCUGUUGCAGUAAUGGUCAUGUUAAUUAAGAGGCUGGAUAAAUUCUUUAACAAUAAUCGGUAAACAUACCGCAGCUGGUGUGGUCAUGAUGUUUGUGGCUCUGUUUUUCUCCAUUUGUGCUGCAGCAAGUAUUAUAAUGCUAGUGAAGGUGCAUAGAAUCUACAGAAGUACUGGAGCCAGUUUUGCUAAGGCACAACAAGAGUUUGCCACUGGAGUGAUGAAGAAUGAGGCAGUACAGAGCGGAGUGCAAAAUGCAGCCUCGUCAGCUGCCCAAGGAGCCGUCAGAGGUGCCGCCUCUCAGUAUGGCACUGGCGGAAAAUACUAAGUCAUUAGACUGUUAAACCUACGAGUGUGAUUCAUAGUGUGACUUAA